AGGGAGCUUGCUCCUGGAUUCAGCGGCGGACGGGUGAGUAAUGCCUAGGAAUCUGCCUGGUAGUGGGGGAUAACGUUCCGAAAGGAACGCUAAUACCGCGUACGUCCUACGGGAGAAAGCAGGGGACCUUCGGGCCUUGCGCUAUCAGAUGAGCCUAGGUCGGAUUAGCUAGUUGGUGAGGUAAUGGCUCACCAAGGCGACGAUCCGUAACUGGUCUGAGAGGAUGAUCAGUCACACUGGAACUGAGACACGGUCCAGACUCCUACGGGAGGCAGCAGUGGGGAAUAUUGGACAAUGGGCGAAAGCCUGAUCCAGCCAUGCCGCGUGUGUGAAGAAGGUCUUCGGAUUGUAAAGCACUUUAAGUUGGGAGGAAGGGCUGUAGGCUAAUAUCCUGCGGUUUUGACGUUACCAACAGAAUAAGCACCGGCUAACUUCGUGCCAGCAGCCGCGGUAAUACGAAGGGUGCAAGCGUUAAUCGGAAUUACUGGGCGUAAAGCGCGCGUAGGUGGUUCGUUAAGUUGGAUGUGAAAGCCCCGGGCUCAACCUGGGAACUGCAUCCAAAACUGGCGAGCUAGAGUACGGUAGAGGGUAGUGGAAUUUCCUGUGUAGCGGUGAAAUGCGUAGAUAUAGGAAGGAACACCAGUGGCGAAGGCGACUACCUGGACUGAUACUGACACUGAGGUGCGAAAGCGUGGGGGAGCAAACAGGAUUAGAUACCCUGGUAGUCCACGCCGUAUACGAUGUCAACUAGCCGUUGGAAUCCUUGAGAUUUUAGUGGCGCAGCUAACGCAUUAAGUUGACCGCC
rnacentral:rRNA from 1 species